rnacentral:rRNA from 1 species
UACGUAGGGUGCGAGCGUUAAUCGGAAUUACUGGGCGUAAAGCGUGCGCAGGCGGUUUUGUAAGACAGAGGUGAAAUCCCCGGGCUCAACCUGGGAACUGCCUUUGUGACUGCAAGGCUUGAGUGCGGCAGAGGGGGAUGGAAUUCCGCGUGUAGCAGUGAAAUGCGUAGAUAUGCGGAGGAACACCGAUGCGAAGGCAAUCCCCUGGGCCUGCACUGACGCUCAUGCACGAAAAGCGUGGGGGAGCAAACAAGG